rnacentral:rRNA from 1 species
CGUGUAGGCGGUUUGUUAAGUCAUGUGUGAAAUCCCUCGGCUCAACCGGGGAACGACGCAUGAAACUGGCAAGCUAGAGUACCAAAGAGGGGGGUGGAAUUCCCGGUGUAGCGGUGAAACGCGUAGAUAUCGGGAGGAACACCUGUGGCGAAGGCGGCCCCCUGGUUGGAUACUGACGCUGAGACGCGAAAGCGUGGGGAGCAAACA